UCUGGACUUUGGAGAUGAGCCCUACACAACAACGUGGUCUCUGAACAGCUACACCAGCCUGUGGAGCCCAGGCCUUCCCACCCGGAGGAACCGCUAUUCCUCAGGAGAACUCCAAAGUUCUGAAGCAAAUCUUUCUCCGGAUUCGAGAUGUGACCAGCUACUUUAUCCUGAGCCCAGGAACCUAUGCCAUUGUUCCUGCUGCCACAGAGGACCAGGAAUUCAAAUUUCUCUUACGAAUUUUCAUAAAGAAUCAAGACUACCAUGAGUAAGAUCAUACACACUCCUUAAAGGCCCCAGACUCACAGUGGGCCAG
rnacentral:lncRNA from 1 species